rnacentral:misc_RNA from 1 species
UGUAUUUUUUUUUUUUUUUUUUAACUUGCUUCUACGCUUUGUAGUUUGGAGUUUAGGAUGGGCUUAUGCAAAGUAAUACUAGAGGUAGAAAUGGAAAGUUUGUGUGCAUGAAAAUAAAAAAGCAAAUAGCAAUUGAGAAAAGGAGAAACUCCUAAAGCGUGCUUUAUGCUUUUGCGCAAUUUAACUUCAUAAUGGUAUUUUGUCAAACAUAGUCUAAA